UACGAAGGGUGCAAGCGUUACUCGGAAUUACUGGGCGUAAAGAGCUCGUAGGUGGUUUGUCGCGUUGUUCGUGAAAACUCACAGCUUAACUGUGGGCGUGCGGGCGAUACGGGCAGGCUCGAGUUCGGUAGGGGAGACUGGAAUUCCUGGUGUAGCGGUGAAAUGCGCAGAUAUCAGGAGGAACACCGAUGGCGAAGGCAGGUCUCUGGGCCGAUACUGACGCUGAGGAGCGAAAGCGUGGGGAGCGAACAGG
rnacentral:rRNA from 1 species